UCAAUGCAGCGUGCAGGACGUAACUUGAUUCAGGGCCUCAAGGAUUUGCCUCUCAUCCAUGGGUAUACUAGCCUGCUAGCGCUUAGUAAAGAGAUCAACAAACAGUGUAAAGAGAUCAACGAAAAGUCCCAGAGGAAACAUGAUCUUGUCAUUGCUUCCUAUGUGUUAGGGGAGAUACCAUCUCUCAAAGACAGGAUUACUGUGGUUCGCCAGC